CUUUGUACUGGAAGUAAGCCGAGCCACUGAGGACAACGUGUCUUUCCCUCCCGUUUCCAGAGGGGCCCCCCUUGGUUCUACCGUAACGCAAUACGUCACUCUUUACUUCGUAUAUCCUGACACGCUUUAAACUACUACCGUUUACUUCCCAAGCCAGCUUUAUAGCUAUCGCGCGAUGACGAUACAACGUAUGUGGUAGGUGACUAUGUGGAUACAUAUGUAACGAGCGACGUUUUCCUUUCGAGUUAGCAAACUGCUGGAAUCGUGUCGUGCGGACGCUUCGCGACGGCGGGUCGACGACGAGGCUUCGACUGUAACUCGAGAGGAUCGCGAUUAUUCUUACGCGAGUUACUGGCGUAUAAUGUUUUGUGGAAGAUGCUGGGAAAGAAUGUUGAAGACCAAUUUUUUAAGAUUACAACCAAACUGUACAUCCUCCCGACGAUCGGAGGACUGAUGACGGAGACAUUAUUAUUAUGACGAUGAUCUAACCACACCCGAUAACACGUGAGCACAAACACUUGUCACCCUCAGAGACGAGAUAAGGAACCGGUCGGCGUAUGAAACUAACGCUGAAACGGACGCAACCGAUUGCCUGCUUCGUUUUAGAAAGAUUCAUUAACCCAAUAUUCAUUAGUGAUUGGACCUGAAGCCAGCACCUUGUGGAACAGCACGAUGACAAUUGCUUCGUGGAGAAAUCAUGAAAUCGAUUGUCAGACUUAUACCGUUAAGCCGAAGACCAGUUAGGAUUGUGUAAUUACAAUAAUCCACGGCACGUGGACUUGAUUAACUUUAUUGCUGUCACUAAUCUAUCGCAAAUGCGUUCGCUGUUUUAAUGCAGUUUCUAGCUACGCUCGCUUUGCGUCGAGGUUCAUUACGUCGCUUUAACGAGACUAUUUAAUUAGCGAGGGAAUAACAAGGACGAGACAAUCAGAACGACGUGUUUAUGGGAAUGCAAGCGGUAGUGCGUCGCUUUACCGAUAAAGUAAUUCGAUGACGGUAAAGUAGAUUUAAACCGGCGUGUCGGUAAUGAAGUAUUCUAUGAUGCAACCUUAUCGAUCCGGCUCGACCGGUACAUACUUUAAGGGACACUGUAUAACGAAUGCGAUUAUUAAUAUUUUUAAUUAUAACAAUGUACGGGACUAACCAAAAAAUAAUAAAUGAUGAAACUCA